GUGAAUGUGAGGCUUAGGUAUGCAAGUGUUUAGCUUUAAUGUUUUCAUGGUCUCAUGUUUUGUGGACCAGCUGCAGUUAGUUUGUUGUUACAAAUCAGUUUAUAUUUGAUUCUGACAGUUUGAUAUUACAUAGAGCUAGUUUUAGAUUCUUUCUGGCAUCUGGAUUGGCGUGAAGUUCUUCAUAAACAUUGUUCCUUGAUUGUUAAUGGUUUCUUCUGCUGUUGGCUGAUUUUUUCACUCCUUCCUUGUCUAAGUAGAUAUCUAUUGUUGAACUGUUUACUAGAAGUACCAAUAAAUUGUA
rnacentral:misc_RNA from 1 species